UUCCCUACGGGAGGCAGCAGUGAGGAAUAUUGGUCAAUGGGCGAGAGCCUGAACCAGCCAAGUCGCGUGAAGGAUGACGGCCCUAUGGGUUGUAAACUUCUUUUGUCAGGGAGCAAUUGGGUCCACGUGUGGGCUUAGCGAGAGUACCUGAAGAAAAAGCAUCGGCUAACUCCGUGCCAGCAGCCGCGGUAAUACGGAGGAUGCGAGCGUUAUCCGGAUUUAUUGGGUUUAAAGGGUGCGUAGGCGGAAUAUCAAGUCAGCGGUAAAAAUUCGGGGCUCAACCCCGACGUGCCGUUGAAA
rnacentral:rRNA from 1 species